AUGAGGGCUGCACUGAUCUGGGCAUCCCUUCUCCUCACUGUCAAAGGUGUCCUGUGUGAAGUUCAGCUGGUGGAGUCUGGGGGAGAUGUGAGACCACCCAGGGGAUCUCUGAGCCUCUCCAGCAAAGCCUCUGGAUUCACCUUCACUGAUUAUUCAAUGCACUGGGUCCACCAGGCUCUGGGGCUGGGUCUGGAGUGGGUGGCAACAGUGAGUAAUCCAACGGGAAAAGAGCAGUACUACUCUCCAUCAGUUCAAGGGAGAUUCACCAUCACCAGGGACAACUCUAUCAGCACAGUCUCACUAAAAAUGACAUACCUGAAAGCCAAAGACAUGGCCAGGUAUUACUCUGUGAGAGACACAGUGAGGGAAAGUCAGGGUGUCCUGUCCCAGGUGCAGCUGAAGGAGUGUCCUGACCCAGGUGACCUGGUGAAGCCCUCACAGACCCUGUCCCUCACCUGCUCUCUCUCUGGAUUAUCUUAA